ensembl:lncRNA
GUGUGGCCUUUGUGCUUGUGACGGAGAUGGAGGUGUGGCCUUUGUGCUUGUGACGGUGAUGGAGGUGUGGCCUUUGUGCUUGUGACGGUGAUGGAGGUGUGGCCUUUGUGGUUGUGACGGUGAUGGAGGUGUGGCCUUUGUGUUCGUGACGGUGAUGUAGGUCUGGCCUUUGUGUCUGUCAGUCUAAGUGAAGGAGGUGUGGCCUUUGUGCUUGUGACAGUCUAAGUGAAGGAGGUGUGACCUCUAUAUCUAUCAUUGCAAGUAAACAGGUGUGGCUUUUGCAUGUUACAGGGUUAGGGUUAGACAGAUGUGACCUUAGUCCUUGUGACACAGAAUGAAGGAAGCAUGGCCUCUGUACCUAUUAGUUCAAGUAAAGGAGGUGUGGCUUUUG